UCAUAGCUCAAUUGGAUAGAGCGUUAGACUACGGAUCUAAAGGUUGGGGGUUCGACUCCCUCUGGGC
rnacentral:tRNA from 2 species